AAACCAUGGUAAGGGCAUCUUUGAACCAGCAACUUAAAUUGUUUACAAGCUUCAUGAAAAAUCUCCCCUUCAAUUUGGUUAAACGUUGUGAUCUCUCUCCUUAGUUU
rfam:Gossypium raimondii Chr10_contig_1020, whole genome shotgun sequence.